rnacentral:rRNA from 1 species
AUAAUAAUUAGUUCCUUAAUUAGGGAAUGGAAUGAAUGGCUAAACGUAGUUUUGCUUUAUUGAGUAAUAAAAUUGAAAUUGAAUUGUUAGUGAAAAUGCUUACUUUUUAUAAAAGACGAUAAGACCCUUUAGAUCUUUAUGUUAAAAUCAAAUUUUUAAAUUAGAAGAAUUUUAAAUUUGAUUUUAACAUUUAGUUGGGGCAACUAAAGAAAAAUUUUAUCUUCUUUAAAUUUAAUAUUUAUGAAAUUUUACAUCUUAAAAUUUAACUUUUAAAAAAAGUUACCUAAGGGAUAACAGCGUAAUUAAAAUUAAGAGCCCAUAUCGACAUUUUAGUUUGCGACCUCGAUGUUGAAUUAAGAAUUCUUAUUGGAGCAGCAUUCAAAAAAAAAGAUAGUCUGUUCGACUAUUAAAUUCUUACAUGAUUUGAGUUCAAAUCGGCGUAA